rnacentral:rRNA from 1 species
UACGGAGGAUCCAAGCGUUAUCCGGAAUCAUUGGGUUUAAAGGGUCCGUAGGCGGUUUAAUAAGUCAGUGGUGAAAGCCCAUCGCUCAACGGUGGAACGGCCAUUGAUACUGUUAAACUUGAAUUAUUAGGAAGUAACUAGAAUAUGUAGUGUAGCGGUGAAAUGCUUAGAGAUUACAUGGAAUACCAAUUGCGAAGGCAGGUUACUACUAAUGGAUUGACGCUGAUGGACGAAAGCGUGGGUAGCGAACAGGGA